CCAAUAGCGUAUAUUAAAGUUGCUGCAGUUAAAAAGCUCGUAGUUGAAUUUCGGGACCAUCAUGUCGGUCGUGCCUCGGUACGUACUGGCAUUGUUGGUUUCUCCCUUCUGACGAACCAUGAUGUCAUUUAUUUGGUGUUGUGGGGAAUCAGGACUGUUACUUUGAAAAAAUUAGAGUGUUUAAAGCAGGCUCACGCUUGAAUACAUUAGCGUGGAAUAAUGAAAUAGGACGUUUGAUUCUAUUUUGUUGGUUUCUAGGAUCGACGUAAUGAUUAAUAGGGAUAGUUGGGGGCAUUAGUAUUCAAUUGUCAGAGGUGAAAUUCUUGGAUUUAUUGAAGACUAACUACUGCGAAAGCAUUUGCCAAGGAUGUUUUCAUUAAUCAAGAACGAAAGUUAGGGGAUCGAAGACGAUCAGAUACCGUCGUAGUCUUAACCAUAAACUAUGCCGACUAGGGAUCGGAUGAUGUUAAUUUUUUAAUGACUCAUUCGGCGCCUUACG
rnacentral:rRNA from 1 species